rnacentral:sRNA from 2 species
AUCAAAAUGUUCAUUCACUUCGGUUCUCACUCAUCACAAUCCUCUGCCUAAUCUGAUUUUAUACCUUCCUUUGAAUAUUCGCUGCUUCAUAAUGACUAUAAAUUCUAAAUUGAUUCAAACCUGACCUUCAUAUUUUCAUCGACACAUUCAGUCUUUCUUUUACGGUUUUAAAUAUGAUAUCAAGCAUCAACGUCUCUCCAACACUCUGGUAAUGGCAAUAUUUGUGGUUAUAAAACAGCCACCAGGAGCACAGCGUAACCAUAAUAGAACAGCUGGCUUUUGAGAGCGCUCGCCUGCAACUGUGGCCUACCAUUUGUAGGGCGAGUGGUUGCCCAUGACAGUUCCAGCUGUCAUCAUCCGGUCACACAGAGGCUGCAGGCGGGCUCAAGCAUAUACCUACAUAGUAGAUUUCCUUUUCGUGGCCGAAGUGCCUGGAUCCUCGGGGCUUAACUUGAUGGCAUUUGCAGGUUUGGGAGGCAGCUGUAAAUGACAAGCAGCGCACACCAUCUGUGACUGGGCCGUACAGCGUUUGACAGAAUAGACACUAGUAGUGUCCAUGAGCCCGUAACAAAUAUAUCCGAGUGUUCCAAUAGCCUCGAGCUUUUUAACAGCUGAUUGAGAUCUGUUCAAAAUUGAAGAUAUAGAGAGGAUAUACUUAUCUCUCUAAAAAGAUUUGAUCAAGUCGCUGAUCUUUAUAUUAAUAUUAAUUUUACGAUAUGCCUUUCAUGAUCUGGAAAAGGUAUACGGAAUUAAUUGCCAUAGUUCGAUCCACACAUUUUCGAUCAAACUGCAUUGCUUUUCCCUUGUCUAUCCUUAGGCUUGAGUCUUGAAAAAGACCUUUCAGUAAUUUUUAAAAACUGUGAAGAUGACGCUCCCGAAGGUAAAACCAUGCAGUAUUAUAGAAGUGCUGAUAGCUAUAUUUUGAACAUGAUUGGAUACUUCAAGAGACUGUCACAACUGACAUAAAUUCGUGUCCAUCACAAAAUAAAAACUGAG